rnacentral:rRNA from 1 species
UAAUACGGAGGAUCCAAGCGUUAUCCGGAUUUAUUGGGUUUAAAGGGAGCGUAGGUUGACAUAUAAGUCAGCUGUGAAAGUUUACGGCUCAACCGUGAAAUUGCAGUUGAUACUGUAUGUCUUGAGUGUACAAGAGGUGGGCGGAAUUCGUGGUGUAGCGGUGAAAUGCUUAGAUAUCACGAAGAACUCCAAUUGCGAAGGCAGCUCACUGGGGUACAACUGACACUGAGGCUCGAAAGUGUGGGUAUCAAACAGGAUUAGAUACCCUGGUAGUCCACACAGUAAACGAUGAAUACUCGCUGUUUGCGAUAUACAGUAAGCGGCCAAGCGAAAGCAUUAAGUAUUCCACCUGGGGAGUACGCCGGCAACGGUGAAACUCAAAGGAAUUGACGG